rnacentral:lncRNA from 1 species
GGAUGGGAAAGGCAGACCCACCCUUAAUCUGCCUGGGCACAGUCUAAUCAGCUGCCAACACAUCUAGAAUAUAAACCGGCAGAAAAAUGUGAAAAGAGACUGGCCUAGCCUCCCAGCCUACAUCUUUCUCCUGUGCUGGAUGCUUCCUGCCCUCAAACAUUGGACUCCAGAUUCUUUAGUUUUGGAACUCGGACUGUCUCUCCUUGCUCCUCGGCCUGCAGACGGGCUACUGUGGGACCUUGUGAUCGUACAAGUAAAUAGGAAACUCACAAUUUUUCCAGCAAAACUUGUAUGUGAAAAUAUAAGCAAAAUGAUAAAUGUGACUGGCCGACAAGCAAAAAACAUUGUUUACCAUCAAACAGCACCAAAACUUCUGGCUGUGUUAUUACCAAUUUGAAUGGACCUUUGCCGAAAGUCCCUGAAGCCAAGCCACACUGCUAACUGAUGAGAGACCAGCUUGAAAGAGGGAGGACCUGCCAAUUGCCAUCAGCACAACUCCAGAUAUAUGGGAGUCAGGCUUUAGGGCAAAAACCGGGGAUCACAGAAUGCUUGCUCAAUCAACUUUGCUCAUCCAAAAUCACAAAAAUCGCCUCAAAAAAUGUUGAUGAUAAUUUAAUUUUCUUCACUCUCCAUGAAGAUGUUAGAUAAUGCUCACUCUGGGUGAGAAUAAAAGCCAGACUCAUCAAUUGUGUUACCGAUUAUAUUCUUGCAAAAGAAUUUUCUUUUAAUUGAAAAAGCUGAAUGUGAGCCAGGCAUGGUGGUUCACGCCUGUAAUCCCAAAAGUUUAGGAGGCCGAGGUGGGUGGAUCUCCUGAGGCUGGGAGUUCGAGAGCAGCCCGGACAACAUAGCGAACCCUGUCUCUACUAAAAUUACAAAAAAUUACUGGGAGUUUUGGUGGGUGCCUGUAAUCCCACCUACUUAGGAGGCUGAGACACCAGAAUUGCUUGAACUCUGGAAGCGGAGGCUGAGGUCUGCCUGGGUGACAGAGCCAGACUCUGUCUUUAAAAAAAAAAAAUGGAAAAGCUGAAUAUGGCACUAUAGAUGCUACUAUUCAACUCUGUCUUCAUUCCUGUACAAAGGUCAGCUAGAACGACUAUAACUGAUAAAAUAGUAUUAAGAUAGUAUUUAUCCAUUCCAUAUGACCCUAUUGUUUGUAAUUAUAGAGAUCAUUGAAGCCAUGUACAUGAACAUCAAUAGCAGCACUCCUUCCCAAGACUUACUCCACCUCCCACAUUUUCUUUAAUUAUUAAUAAUGCUCUGCUUCUACUAUAGGUAUAUAGACACAGAUAAAACUAUAAACUCUAAGAGCCAUUUGAAGAAAGUCUAUCGUCAGAAGAAGCAAUCAUGAAAAUAAUUGCUAUUAUAUGUAUGAUUUUAUUCAUACUCCAAACAAUUAGUUGAAAAAACUGCAAGUAACUAAAUUUGAUAAUUUAGUAUGCAGAAAAGUUCUAUCACAUGAAAAUGGUAUGUUUUUGCCAUUGGCAAAUGGUAUUACACAACUCCAUGCUUUAUUUUAGCUUUGGAAAACAUAAAAGUAAAUGCAAAAUAUAUUUACUAAUCAUGAGGGCUCCUAGAAUAUUUAUUUUUGUGCCUCCUCCAAAAGAUUUUGGUAAUUUAAUUUACUUGUUUAGUUGUGUGUAAAUAUUUUAUAAAAUUCCUUAGAAGUAAGCAAAUAAAAAUCACUGAUAACCAGAAAACAAUGCACAAAUGAGUCCCCCCAUGCAGCUCCGCCUUUCUAUGCCCUUGAAAAACAAGAAAAGGUAAAGUAAACAAAAUCCACAUGAGCCUCUUGCAGUGGUAAAAGUAAUAGACCCAGAGUCAGGGAAUCAACUUUCCUAAGUUGCUGUAACACAGAUCACUUGUAUGACUUGGGGCAGCAUAUCUCUAAGACAAGAUGAUUGGGCACAGUAUUUCUUAAGAUUCUUUAUGCCUCUUUUGCUUUAAAAAAUUAUUAAAAUGUUUCUAAUAAAAAUACAAAGAAUCUUUUCUGUUACCAUUAUCAUCAUUUCAAAUUAAUUUAUAUGCUACACUUAAAUUUUAAAGAUAUUUAAUCUGGAAAGGAAUAGACAAAGCUAUUUAAAAGACUUCUAAAAUAAAUACGGAGGUAAUUUACUUUAGGAAGUAGAAAUAACAUCUUUUAUGUUUUUGUUUUUUUUAAUCAAAAUUAUUUUUAGACUGCUUAUAUGUAAGCAUAGUCUAUUCCUUGUUUUGACCAAGUGACAUUGUAGGUAUAUUUAAGAAAUUAUGGGCAAUUAGAACUUAAUUAAAAUGCUGUGAAUUGAAGGGUUUCUAAAGGUGUUGUGACUUAUGGUUUUUGAUUCUGCAUAUAAGGAGUUGGGAAGUUGCCACAAAAACAAGUAAAAAGCUUUCACAAGUGUAAAGGUAGACUGAAAAAUCAAUUCUAGAUCUGUAAGAGAAGUAAGGUCACAGAGCAAACCACUGCCAUCAAAAUUGGAGAGAUAGAACAGCAGACACAGAGAAACCACAAAUUACUGGAGCAGAAACCCAUGAGCAGAGAAGAGACCUACUGGGGAACCAAUACUAGGGGAGAAAAACUUAUACUUUGACAAACUUCUGGAAGGCCAGCCUUACACUUCUUUGGGUUUUACCAUUAGAGGAUCUACCAGAUCCUCACACUGAAUAUUGGAGAAAAAUCUCCUUGUGUUUCUAGCAGAGAGAGGAAGAAAAAAGAACCAUUUUCGAAACAUGCCAGAGCAUUCUGUUCUUCUUAACAAGGCCUGCUGUUAGGAAAAUCUAUUUUGCCAAAGCCUAAUCAGCCGAGGUUUCCAGAACCUAUACUACCUGGGGGAAGGGAAAUACCCUGCUCCAGCUUCUGUAGCCUUCACUGUGGGGGAAGAGAAAUACAUAAUUUCAGUUCACUUCGGCCAUUUUGUCUCACCUAAGGCAGGAUAAAUUGAGAAGCAACAAUAAAGUUCACAGUCCAGGGACACAGGUUCACAGAAAGACUGAGACCUAACCAUAGGGCUAUGCAAUGUUUCUUCUACCACAGCUUACCACUACGUUAUAAAAGACCUACUUACCACAGUUCCUUUUAGCUAGUAUUUAAUGUCUGCCUUUAGAGAAAAAUUCAAGGCACACAAAAAAGGAAAAGAUACAUAGUUGAAGAGACUGAACAGGUAUCAUAACCAGACUCAGAUAUGGCAGGAAUGUUGGAAUUAUCAGAGCAGGAAUUUUUUAAAAUUAGGUUUAAUAUGUUAAGUGUAUUAAUGAAAAAAAGUAGACAACAUACAAGAACAGAUGGAUAAUGUAAGCAGAGAGAUGGAAAUUCUGAGAAAGGAUAAAAAAGAAGUUCUAGAGAUAAAAACACUGUAACAGAAAUAAAGAACGCUUUGAUGUGCUCAUUAGCAGAAUGAACACAGCUGAAGAAAGAAUCUCUGAACUGGACAAUAUGACCAUAGAAACUUCUAAAUUAAAAAGCAUACAGAAAAAGACUGAAAAACUUAAAAACAGAACAGAAUAUUCAAGAACUGUGGAGCCACUAUAAAAGGUUGGAGAGCACAAAACCUUGAACAUCACAAGGAAAAUAGUUUUAUAAAGGCUUUCUCCAUUCAACAACAUAAAUCAGGCUUUAAAUAUAAAGCUACCAGAUAAGUCUUUGUAUAUAAAUUCCUUAUCUUAGUCUUUUUAGAAAUACUAUUUUUAACAAAAACAAAAAUUAUUUUUAAAAAUAUUUUUAACAAAUAGUAGAGAAAGAAAAAUGGUAUAGGCAAAUAACCUGUAUCUAUACAAAGAGAAGAAGAUCAGAGCAUAAGUGAAGGUCAAAUAUAAACUUUUAUUUUUCUUAUUUCUAAUUUAGCAUAGUUUAUUAUAAACAAUAGCAACAAUGUAUUCAUGUAUGCAUACUUCUGCAUGUGUGUAUAUAUGUAUAUAUAUUAUAUAUAUAUGCUUAUGUAUAAGUGAAACGAAUGACAAUAAUGAUAAAAGGGAUGGAUGUGAAGAAUUAGAAAUAUUUUGUUAUUAUAAGGUAUUUGUACUCCAGAUGAAAUGGUAUAGUGUUUUUUGAGAGUGGACUUCAAUUUGCUGUAAACUAUAUAGUAAAUUCAAGGGCAACUACUAAAAAGGAAAAAAAAUACAUUAAAAAAGAAGUAUAAUGUUAUCCUAAAAACUGAGAGAAAAUGGAACCAUAAAUGCUAAAUUAAAUCAGAAGAGACAAAAAAUUGUAAAAGACAGAAAUGAAAACCAACAAGGGCAAUAAAUAGAACACUAUAAAAAUAUUGUAGAGAUUAUUCAAUAAUCACAUUAAACAUCAAUGUUUUAAAUACAAUUAGGAGAUAGAGAUUGUCAGAGUGGAUCAAAAAACAAGACUCAACUGUAUGUUGUCUAUAAGAAACCCUUCUUAAACAUGAAACACAUAUAGGUUAAAAAGUGAAGGGAUGGAGAAAGAUAUAGCACACUAACACUUAUCCAAAAUAAAUGAGAGUAACUAUACUAAUUCUAGGGAGAGAAGGCUUCAGAGCAAGGAUAGUUAUCAGGGAUAAUAAGAGGUAUAUAUAAUAAUAAAGGACUAAUACUUCAUUAAGACAUAACAAUCCUUAACCUGUAUGUCCUUAGAGAACACCAACACAUGUGAGGCAAAAUACAAGAGUGCUGCAAAUUCUGCACAUGUAUCCCCGAACUUAAAGUAUAAUAAAAUACACACACAUACAUCAAAAAAUAAAAAUUCUAUGAUCACAUUAAUAGAUGAAGAAAAGGCAUUUGACAAAAUCCAGCACCUUUUCAUGAUAGAUUGUUUUGUUUUGUUUUUGGAACAAAUAGAGGAGAAUCUACCCAAUUUGAUUUUAAAAGGAGAAAAUCUGUAGCUAACAUCAUACAGUCAUGUGUCACAUUAUGACAGAGACACAUUCUGAGAAAUGCAUCAUUAAGCAAUUUUGUUGUUUAUGAAUAUCAUAGAGUGUACUUAUGCAAACCUAGAUGGUCUAGCCUACUACACACCAAGACUGUAAGUUAUAGCCUAUUGCUUCUAGGCUACAAACUUGUUUUGAAUAUUACUGUACUGAAUAUUGUAGGCAAUUGUGACAUAAUGGUAAGUGUUAGUGUAUCUAAACAUGCCUAAAUACAGAAAAGGUACAGUAAGAAUGUGGCAUUCUAAUCUUAUGGAACCAUUAUUAUUAAUGCAGUCUGUCAUUUACCAAAAUGUGGUUAUGCAAUCUAUGGCUUUACUUAAUAGUAAAAAAUUAGAAGCUUUGCCACUCACAUCAGGAACAAGAUAAGGAUUUCCUCUCUCUCCACUGCUUUUCAAUGUACUGGAAGUCCUAGGUAAUACAAGAAGUCUGUUUAUAGAUAACAUGAUUGUCUAGAUAGAAAAUCCAAACUAAUUGCUCCUCAUGGAAUUAAUAAGCAAUUAUAGAAAGGUUGCAGGAUACAAGUUUAAUAUACAAAAGUCAGUUGCUUUCCUAUACAUCAUCAAUGAACAAGGAAUUUGAAAACAAAACACAUUAUUAUUUACAUGAUCACCUCACAAAAUGAAGUGUUUAAAAUCUAACAAAAUAUAUUCAAGACUCAUAUGAGAAAAUCUACAACAUUUAGAUGAAAGAUACCAAAGAAAACUCAAUAAGUGGAGAGAUAUUCCAUGUUCAUGGAUUAGAAUACUCAAUAUUAUCAAGUUGUCAGUUCUUAGCUUGAUCUAAAGUCGAAAAAGUCCAAUAAAAUCCCAACAAGUUAUCAUAUGAAUAUUGGCAAACUUGUUCCAAAGUUUAUAUGGGAGAGCAAAAGACCUAGAAUAGCCAACUCAAUACUGAAAGAGAAGAUGAAAGUCAGAGACACAUAAAUUUAAAACUUGCUAUUAAGGUAUAGUAAUCAAGACAGUAUAAUACUGGCAAAAUGAUUGACUAAGAAAAAAAAAAAACAGAAAAAGAAAAGAACAGAAAACAAAAGAACAGAAAAGAGAGCCCCAGAAUAGAUCCACACGAAUAUAAUCGAUUGAUCUUUGACAAAGUCACAACAGUAAUACAAAAGGGCAAAAAUUAUCUUUUCAACCAAUGGUGCGGAAAAAAUGGGCAAUCUAAGUGAAAAAAAGUGCAUAGUGACACAGACCUUAUACCAUUCUCAAAAAUUAACUCAAAAUGAAUUAUAUACCUAAAUGUAAAAUGUAAACCUAUAAAAUUCCUAGAAGAUAACAGCAGAGAGCCUUGAUGAACUUGGUUGUCACAUGACUUUUUAGAAACAACACCAAAGACAUGAUCCAUGAAAUAAAUAAUUAACAAGCUGGAUUUCAUUAAAAUUUAACACUACUGCUGUGCAAAAACCACUGUAAAGAGAUUAAGAAGACAGGCUACAGAUUUGGAGAAAAUAUUUGCAAAAGAGACAUCUGAAAAGAACUGUUAUACAAUACAUAAAAAGAACUCUUAAGAGUCAACAAUAUGAAAAUGAAUAACCUAGUUAAAAAAUAGGCAAAAGACACUUUGUUCAACAAAGGAGAUACACAGGAGACAAGUAUGCAUAUUAAAAGAUGUUCAGCAUUAUAUGUUAUCAAGCUAUUACAAAUUAAAACAAAAAUGAUAUAACACUGCACAGCUAUUAUAAUAGCCAAGAUAGAAAACAUUGGCAACAUCAGAUGCUGGUGAGGAUGUGGAACAAUAAGAAAUCUUACUCUUGCUGAUGGGACUGCAAAAUGGUACAUCCACUUUGGAAAACAUUUUGUCAAUUUCUUAAAAGCUGAACAUACUCUUACCUUAUGAUCCAGUUUGGUACUCAUUUAAAGGAGUUGAAAAUUAGAAACCUGCACACAGAUGUUCAUAAAAGCUUAAUUCACAAUUGCCAAAACUUGGAAGCCACCAAGAUGUCUGUCAAUAGGCAAGUGGAUAAACUAUGGUACACAUAGACAAUAAAACAUUAUUUAGCGAUAAAAAUAAAUGAGCAAUCAAGUUAUAAAAAGACUUGGAGGCAAUUUAAAUGCAUAUAACAAAGUGAAAAAAGCCAAUCUGUAAAAGCUAUGUACUGUAUGAUUUCAACUAUAUGACAUUCUGGAGAAAGGCAAAAUCAUGGAAACAGUGAAAAAAAUGUUGUUCACCAGGGAUUAGGGGAGAAAGGGACAAAUAUAGGAAUAACACAGGUCCUCCCAUAUUUCUAUCCAAAUGGUGAAGCUUGAUCUACAAUUAUAGCCGAGGGAGAAGUAGGAUUUAUUUGGUGCUAUUAUCUGUGAACGAACGACUGUGAAAACCAAAUGCUAUUCUAUUGUUACAUAAAUGAAGACGUUGAGUAGAAUCUUAUUCGACCACAUGUAUGUAUGUAUUCUCCUCUUAUUCUUA